AAUUUUCGCCAAUGGGGUCAACCCUGAUCCAGUCAUCGCGCGUGUGCGAUGAAGGCCAUCGGGUUGUAAAGCACUUUUGGCAGGGAAGCAAAGGCGCUGGCUAAUACCUGGAGCUGCUGACGGUACCUGCAGAAUAAUCACUGGUUCAUUACGUGCCAGCCGUCGCGGUAAUACGUUGGGUGCUGGCGUUAAUCGGAAUUACUGGGCGCAAAGCGUGCGCAGGCGGUUCGGCAAGAAGGAUGUGAAAUCCCAGGGCUUAACCUUGGAACUGCAUUCUUAACUGCCGGGCUAGAGUAUGUCAGAGGGGGGUAGAAUUCCGCGUGUAGCAGUGAAAUGCGUAGAGAUGCGGAGGAAUACCGAUGGCGAAGGCAGCCCCCUGGGAUAAUACUGACGCUCAUGCACGAAAGCGUGGGGAGCAAACA
rnacentral:rRNA from 1 species